UACAGAGGGUGCGAGCGUUGUCCGGAAUCACUGGGCGUAAAGGGCGCGUAGGCGGCGCGGUAAGCGUGCGGUGAAAGCCCGGGGCUCAACCCCGGGUCGGCCGUGCGGACUGCCGGGCUGGAGCACUGUAGAGGCAGGUGGAAUUCCGGGUGUAGCGGUGGAAUGCGUAGAGAUCCGGAAGAACACCGGAGGCGAAGGCGGCUUGCUGGGCAUUGUCUGACGCUGAGGCGCGAAAGCGUGGGGAGCGAACAGG
rnacentral:rRNA from 1 species